UACAGAGGGUGCUAGCGUUGUUCGGAAUCAUUGGGCGUAAAGGGCGUGUAAGCGGUUUGUUAAGUCAUGUGUGAAAUCCCUCGGCUCAACCGGGGAAGGACGCAUGAAACUGGCAAGCUAGAGUACCAAAGAGGGGGGUGGAAUUCCCGGUGUAGCGGUGAAAUGCGUAGAUAUCAGGAGGAACACCUGUGGCGAAAGCGGCGCACUGGACCACAACUGACGCUGAGGCGCGAAAGCUAGGGGAGCAAACAGG
rnacentral:rRNA from 1 species